GUCAAAACGACCCCCUUUUCUGGGUGACACCAUGUUGACAGCCCCGCCCGCACUGAUUCACAAUGACCUCAUUAAUGCAUCAAGGGGUAGACCAUGGGUG